UACGUAGGUGGCAAGCGUUGUCCGGAAUUAUUGGGCGUAAAGCGCACGUAGGCGGCCAUGUAAGUCGGGUGUGAAAGCCCUCGGCUCAACCGAGGAACUGCGCCCGAUACUGCAUGGCUUGAGGUCCGGAGGGGAGAGUGGAAUUCCUGGUGUAGCGGUGGAAUGCGCAGAUAUCUGGAGGAACACCGGUGGCGAAGGCGGCAUCCUGGACCAACACUGACGCUGAUGAGCGAAAGCCAGGGGAGCAAACGGG
rnacentral:rRNA from 1 species